GACCAUAGAUUUAUCUAUGUUUCUUACGCAAUAUCAGGACUCUCAAUAUAAGUAAGUAAGCGUAGGUGAUCUUGAAACAAAGUCGAGAACAUUUAGAUUGAGCUCGUUCGUCAUGAGGGUCCUUGCCUUGCUGUCCGUUUUCCUUCUAAUCGCUGUCACAAAUGUUUGCCUUGCUGCCGUGAGUGGUAGGGGUCCCGGAGGCCCAGGUGGCGAGCCUCCAGUGUUUGACUGCACAGGUAAAAUUGGGUAUUUUGCCGACCUCUGGAAAAAUUGCGAAGUAUACUAUCAGUGCCUCGAGGAUGGAACUAAACUGACAUUCGGUUGUCCCAGUCAGCCUCAAACAUACUUUAACGAAGCAAUAACCGAGUGCGUUCAUACUUACACUUGUCCGGAACCCCAGCCAGUUUAGCAAUGUUAUGAAUUUGAUUUGAUUGUCCGAAUAUUGAAACAUAUUUCCAAAUUAUCGUGUAUUUUAUUUCAAAUUUGGGCAAUGGAUAUCAAAGUCUUAUACACCUUUUUUGACAGCUUCA